UAUUAAAGAAGACAGAAGUUUCUUAUUGAGUUGCCUCAGUGGGAAGACUUGCGGACCAGGCACUGGAAUUCUCUGAAGGCUUCUCCGAGCAUCUCUCCAUGUCUCUGAGCUCUCUCUCUGUGAUCUUGCUGGUCUGGUGGCUUCGGGGUAGCAGGAUAUCUUAUACAUUGUCUCCAAGCCUCAUGUUUUCAAAGAGAGAGUGGCAUAGAGAAUAGAAAGCCAGAAAAAGGUCUAGAUGCAGUGCCUUCAGCAAUAGCAAGGAGAAUAUGGCAAAGAGCUAAAUCACAUUGUCCACUACUGUGCUUGUCAGGCUAUGAGGACCCCUUUAGGUGCUUUGGGAACUUGAUGUUCAAUGGAAUUAUUUUUCACAUUCGUGGAAAGCAGUUUCUCUUAUGCUGCUCACCACAUGGUGGCUAAGAAUCAGAACAAGAGCAGAGAGGAGCCAAGGACAGGAAUAUAUCUCCAGGUCACAUCCUGUGCAACCCUUUUCUCCUGACCAGGCCCCACCCCCUAACACCAUAUUUCAGCCAUGAACUCGUCACCAGAUUAAUCUACUGAUGAGCAUAGCAUCCCCAUGACCCAGACUCUUGGAGGACAUUUUAGAUCUAAACCAUGGCACCCACUUAUUCUUGGUCCUUUCUCC
ensembl:lncRNA